GCGCCCGCCACAGUCCCGCCCUCAAAUCCCAUGGGCCUCUGCGAGAUGGUAUUUAAGUGUUUCGCUGGGCGUUUUCGGUCUCGUUUUUGUGCUGCUCUCGGGUUCAGGCGCAAGUUUGAACGCUAAAGAACCGGGAAGAGCCCUCCUGUUAAAAUGUGGUUCAGUUUAAAAGAGCUUACAGGUUGGAAGAUGGGACAGGAUCUUUCCCUGUGCAAAUCAAGCAUUACAGUGGUGCUCCAGCAUCUCAUCACCAAUCCUGAGGAAUUCAUCUGUCUCCCAGGGUGACUACAGCCUGUCCUGAUGAUGAUAUAUUCAUCUAUCUUAAUGAUGCCCAUUGAUCUGUCCAGGGUUGAACUUGUGGAAAGAGUUGGAAGUGGUAAGUACUUGUAACUUGGUUGUAAGCUUGCCCCAGAGUCCAGUGCCAGUGAGGAAAGCAAGCAUCUUGUCUUAACCCCUGUUCUAGCCCCAGAGCCAGUAAUGGUGAACCCACUGGGGCUAACUGGGAGAGAGGAUGAGAACUUGUUCCAUAAGGAACUGUCUGAGGUACAACAAAUACCUGUAGAUAGCAUUUGCUUAGAUUUACUCGGCCUACCCAUUAACCAUAGCUAGAAUAGUUUUGGCUGUUUUAGAUACUUUGCUAAUUACAUGAUCUCAUUUAGGUGCACUUGUUCCUGUGUACUGUAGAAAAGCUUCCAGAGUUAAAAGGUUCUGUUACCAGUAACCUGUUCAUCCACUCAAAGGUCCAGCACCUUCUCUGGAGCCCAAGAAUGAUUUGAGGGAAAGUGUAAGCCAUAUUUCUGCUCAGCUCCAGUCUGAAGUUACAGGUCUAAAGAAAGAAAACAUGUAUAAUGGAAUCCAACCCUUGGGGGACAUCAAAUGGGAAUUUUCAAGUAAUUUCUUGUACAAUUUAAAUUAACAUAAAAUUCAAAUUAACAUGCAAUCAUUUCGGUCUUUCUAAAUAAAAGUUUUGGUUUUUAACCUU